AUUGGAAUACGACGAUUCUGACUAAGGAUUUGCAUUUUGAUUGCUUGAACCAGUAGCCGUCAUUGAACUCGUUUUCACAUCGAAUUCAGUUACAUGGUGUGCAUCUACUUUUGUGCUUGCAGUUUUAUGGCCGAAUUGAUCAACAUAAGUUUGUUAUUAGGCUUGA